ACGAGACAAGGAAAGAAGACGAAGAGUGACAAUCACAGCCACAACACAUACGGGGAGUUUUUUUGGUUUUUGUUUGUUUUUUUGUUUUGGAAUUUUUUUUU
rnacentral:ribozyme from 1 species